rnacentral:rRNA from 1 species
CUGGGGGAUUAGUGGCGAACGGGUGAGUAACACGUGAGUAACCUGCCCUUGACUCUGGGAUAAGCCUGGGAAACUGGGUCUAAUACCGGAUAUGACUCCUCAUCGCAUGGUGGGGGGUGGAAAGCUUUUGUGGUUUUGGAUGGACUCGCGGCCUAUCAGCUUGUUGGUGGGGUAAUGGCCUACCAAGGCGACGACGGGUAGCCGGCCUGAGAGGGUGACCGGCCACACUGGGACUGAGACACGGCCCAGACUCCUACGGGAGGCAGCAGUGGGGAAUAUUGCACAAUGGGCGCAAGCCUGAUGCAGCGACGCCGCGUGAGGGAUGACGGCCUUCGGGUUGUAAACCUCUUUCAGUAGGGAAGAAGCGUAAGUGACGGUACCUGCAGAAGAAGCGCCGGCUAACUACGUGCCAGCAGCCGCGGUAAUACGUAGGGCGCAAGCGUUAUCCGGAAUUAUUGGGCGUAAAGAGCUCGUAGGCGGUUUGUCGCGUCUGCUGUGAAAGACCGGGGCUCAACUCCGGUUCUGCAGUGGGUACGGGCAGACUAGAGUGCAGUAGGGGAGACUGGAAUUCCUGGUGUAGCGGUGAAAUGCGCAGAUAUCAGGAGGAACACCGAUGGCGAAGGCAGGUCUCUGGGCUGUAACUGACGCUGAGGAGCGAAAGCAUGGGGAGCGAACAGGAUUAGAUACCCUGGUAGUCCAUGCCGU